ACACACAAAAUGAUAAGAAGAACACAUUACUCAAGAUUAAAGUCAUGAGAAUAAUUUACUUGUUUUUGUUUUUACCUUGAGUAGAGUACCAAUGCGUCCAAGUAAUGAGCUUUGCUCUUGGGAUCGUCAGGCUCUUUCAUGUUUGCUACUCUUUCAAGGUGAGUGAUUCCUUCCGAUGUCUUUCCCUAAAGCCAUGAGCGAACAAUUCUUUGAGUAUUUUCGCAUCAACGUGUGUAUACAAAAAGAUAGGUGAAGACAAGAAAUUUGUGUGAAUAAUGCACCUGGCGAAUAUUGGAGACACCUGCCCAUUGGGAUGCAACAAUUAAAAGAUCGACUUCUUCAACUUCUGUUGGACUGGUAUCAAGAAGCUGAGAGGGUCAUAAUUACCUUUGAUUAAUUUUGUUAUAGGUUUCUUAUCAAAUGUCCUAAAGAAUGAGACAUCAAAAUCUCACCUUUGAAGCAGCCAGCUCUAAGUAUUUUGCAGCUUCAGCAAACUGGUCUUUCUGAUAUAAAGCCUGGCCAAGAAUAACCAUAGCUUGAAGGUAUUCAGGAUCUUUUUCUAAUGCCAAUCUGAAUAAAAAAACACAACUAAUUAACUACAACAUCCAAGGAAAUGCUUUUCAUGAUGAGAAGCAAUCAUAGCUACAUAGUUACCUUAAUAGCGGAAUUGAUUUAUCCUUGUUCCCUCCGGAUAAGUAUUUGGCAGAAAGCUGGUAGGAAAAGCUUUUAACAUAAGUAACAAACAAGUGGAAAACUAAAUAUUGUAAAAACAUCCUGAUCCAUGACAUUGACUUACAGCAACCAACUCUUUAGGGGUUAAGUUAUGCCCUGAGAUCAAGCGUCCUUUUGAGGAUGAAUCAGUAAGUUUUGCUUCAUUAAUGUUUGUUAAUAUAGGAUUGCCAGCCUCUUUCUGUACAGAGUCAUUUGCUUGUAGGCCCAACUUUGCACUUACAACGGGGUGGUUAAGGAUUGAUUGCUACAAAGCCAAUGCACUUUAUGAGAGAAUCGAAGGGUACUUACAUCUUUAAUGUUAAAGGGAAGGUAGAGAGUUAUUGUGAACAGAGAUACAGACCAUAACCAGCAUAAAAACCAAUCUCCCUAAACAGAGUUACUAAACUUUUAACUAAUUACUACAAAGUUAUCAGUAACUUGGGGUCAACGUCUACGAUAAGCUUUGGAUCCUCAACUCAACAAUCCGCAUCAUUCAUCCCUGACUCAAAUGCUGUGUGGCACUUGCCACUCUAUAAUGGAGUGUUUAGUUUAGAUGAAUUCAAGAUUAAGAACACCCUAAGUAAUUUUUCGAUUUGCCCAAUUUUUCACACAAAUUCUUCAUCUUAACGAGUUUAACUAUGAUCUCAUUUUUUGUCCAGAGAAAGCUUGUCCCAAAAGAUACCACACCAUACAAAGCAUAAAUUUGACAGCAUCAAAAGACAAACACCAUUAGUAGAUCUUGGACUGCAAUCUUUAGAACAAACCUGAGCUAUGCUGAAUGACAAAUUGGUAGCCCAGUAGAGUAGACUUCCCUGAGAAGUAAUUGUGAAAAAAAGAAUGAGAAGAAAUGAAACUUUUGAACAGGAAGCAAUGUAAAAAUACAGUAUUCCCAAUAGAAAGAAUGGGGUGAAAAUGGCUGUUCCAGGGAGUAAUAGUAAAGUGAGAGCAGUAGCUCUUAAACAAAACUCAACCAGACACUAGGUUUACAAUGGAACGACACAUGACUCUAGAGAAGGAAGAUGGUUUUGUUUGAAUGGCAUAGUUUCAAGAUUGGUCACCAAUACGGGUUUUACAAAAGGAUAUAAGUCAAACUGGUCAAGUAAAGCGGAGUUUUGUGUUUUAAGAAAUCUAGUUGAAGGACAUUGCACUAAACCGGUAUCAAAAUAUAGUCAUGAUAAUGGAAAAGACUAUCUGGACACAAAGAUAAAGCAUGGCAAUGUUAUACACUAACAUCUUAGAUGGAAUCUGAACAUCACAACUUCAGAAGAGGGGGGGGGGGGGGGGGGAUAAGAUAAGCGAUCAAUUUACCUGAGGCAUUUGGAAUGAAAGGCCAUAAAGAGCAAAUGUCAAAAAAUUCAAAAACAUCUUGAAAGUCUGCAGAAGAAAACAGAAACACCCAUCAAUUGUUAAGUAGCAUGCAUAAAGAACAGUGCAUAAAAAAAACUCUUUCUUUUUCGGUAGAAUUUGGUAUUUUACUUGAUGCCAGGCAACCAAGUCACACUAACUUUUCUGGCCAAAAAGUUCAUUGAAGUAUAUAUGAAGAAAUAUAGACUUCCUAUGACAAAACUGGACAACAAAGUAGAAAAACUCACUUUUGCCAGUUCCGCGAAUUUAUCAACUUUGUGAACUGAGGAUGCUGUAAAAGUUAUCUGCAGGAAAAUGUGUAUAUAUUUCAAACAAGCAGGAAUACAGAAAAUAACAGGAAGUAUAGUUCAAGAGAAUUAGAGAAAUGAUUCUAGUUGAUGAGAUGUAACAUAAGUGUUACUUAAGCUUUCAUGAUCCAACAAAGAACCAAACAGUACAUACCUGUGUGUUUGUGUAAUGCAAACCAGCUAUUAAAAAGGGGAAAAGAGGACCAUAAAGACCAUUGGGAACUUCGGUCAAAUUCUGAAACCAUAAAGCUCCACCCUGCAAGCAAUGGGACAAAGGAUUCUAUUAAAAGGAGAGUGUGGCAGAAGACAUUUUCCAAUAUACCGACUAAAUGACGAUAAUAUAAGGCCUGAAAUAGAAGAAAACAAAAGUCCUAAAAUAUACAAUUUCAAAAUACGCUUAUAAGUGAACCCAAUAUACUGGCUGGCGACUUACCGAAUCAAAUCCAGGAUGAUGAUCAAGUGACAUUCUUCUGAUGCUAGUUAUCCACAAGAAAAAACAUGAAAUCUGCAGCAAGAAGAAGGGGGGAGUAAGCCUACAACUUCUUGCCACUCAAAGAAUUAUAUUUCAAGUUAUCUGUAGACCAAAUAUUUACACUCAUAAGUAAUGUUACAUGAGUGGUAAAAACUAAAAGACGCACUAAUAACACAAAACUAGCCAUCUAAGCUCUAUAAAUAUGGUCUCAUUUCACUCAUGCAAAAGUCAACAAGGCUGCGAAAAGUAAACAAUUUCGAAAUUUCUACAGAAAUAUGAACGGCAUGGAAUAUCAUAAUACUUUUAGUUCCACACGAAGAUAUGAAGCAUAACCUGGAUGGAGAAAUAAGCAGGAACCCACAAAAACGAAGGGCACCCGCUAUCUCUUCUUUCCUUCCGGAAAAGCUUCAACUGAUCAAUAACACUCCUUCCUGAACCCUCUGGAGGCCAGAAAGGCGGUACUACAAGAAAAACACUAUCAAAUUAUUAGCAUCUAGUCACAACCACCAAUGUUGAGCUCUGUUAUUUUCAAAGCAAUAACUAUUUUUUAAAAAAAUUAUCGCUUAUAUAUGUGUGACCAAAAUUUUGACGAGGCUUUAUGGUCUAAAACCUUAUGUAAAACCAGAUUAUAAAAUUUUGGGGAUUAAGAUUUGGAUUAAGAUUUAAUGGGUCAAAACAGGAAAAAGAUUAGGAUUAUUAAUCAAAUCCCUUUAAUACCCCGAUAUUCCUCGGAUUUAAAGGAGAAAACAUAACCAACAAAAAAGAGAACUUGCCAAAAGAGAUGGUGUCUAUAGUGACCAUAGAAUAACAAGAGAGGACAUGCGAUGUUUUCUUUUCACACCCGACGUUUCUUUGGUAAUCUGCAACCAUUAUGAGCUUUCCUAGUCGUGUCCUCGAUGUACACUAUCGGAUUCUGAUCAGACCUAGAGUUGGUGAAACCGUCCCUAAACGCAAUAAUGGCUUUCUUCUUCUUCCCGAAGUGUGUAAAUCCGUUAACCUUAACAACCACAGAUUUCAGUCCCAUAGCCUUAGCUCUUCUCCCAAUGUUUUCUGCGGUUGCAUCAGCUGUGUAAUUUGUCAUCUUCCGUCCACCUUUCAGAUCGGGUAAACUACCGGAUGUUGCUUUGCAUUUGACGUUUCCUUUGGAAUCUGUAACCGUGACAAAAGUGUUGUUCCGCAACAUCUUGAUGUGAAUGAUGUCAGCAUUCGUUUCGAGGUUUGGGCGAUGGAAAUGAGAGAAUAUCCCUGAGGUUCUCCUUCCUUCAUCUUCUAUUACUUCUCUAACAAAAUCCAGGUCGCUUGACUUCCCUCCACUGCGGGGAUUCUCAUUGAGAAGUGAAGAUUGAGUGAAAUUCUCGUAGCUUGAUACACUAGGAGCAGAGAAUCCGCUUCCUCCAGUUGGUAAGCCUGGAUUCGUCUGACUGAACUGAUCAGGUAGGGAGUUAGGUAAUCUUGAUCUCAGUGAAUUUUUGAAGGUAGGAGGAGCAUUAGGAGCCGAGAAACCGUUUACUCCUCUGUUUAACAAGCCUGCUUUCAUAUCACCGAAAGUUCUCAGAGUCGGAGGGUUAGGCUCCGAAGGGGAACCGAAUCUUCCCGUGUUUGGUAAGCCUGAAUUAUUUGCAGACUCUCCAGGAACUAGCCCUUGCUCUCUGAAUCUCCCUCCUGUUCAAAGAAAAAUCAAUCAAUACAUAUACGUUUUUAUUCCCUCCUCGCAUAAUUCUGAUGAUUUUUCAACUAAAGACUAAAGCUGUUCCACAGGACGACAUAAUCUGGAAAACUAACUAAAUAAUUGUUUUCUAGAUUCAGAAUUUGUAGAUUUCUCGUUAUCAAUCGCAACUAUUGCCUAAUUUCUGAAUAAAGCAAAAUGUUUAAGAGCCAUAAGAAGCUAAUCUUUGAGAUUACGCGAGUCUAAUUGAUUCAAUCCUCGAUUUUGUACUUCUAGGUAAAGGUUACAAUCCUAACGCGAAUCGAACAAUCCCUAAUCACGAAAUUGCACAUUUUCAUGGAGAACAACAUCACUUGACGAUAGUGAAUAACUUAACUGACGAAUCCAAAACUUUGAUAGUACAAAUGCAUAAAUCAGAUAAAACCCAGAAAGAUUGAUCCCAAAUCAACUCGUUAAUCUGAGCCAUUUACUCAAAAUUGAAGCAAAUUCGCUUGCUCGGAGCGGAAGAGAUAAAGAAUGGGAAAUAACGAACCAGAGAAGCCAUCAGAUUGAGACGAAAAUCGACAGACCGAAUUGAUUCCACCAUAGCUGCGAAUCAACGACGGAAGUGAAGAAGCUCGAAGAUAACGAGAAACACCAUUCAUUUUCUUCUCGAAGCAAAUUUUGGAGGUUUAGGGUUUUUUUCUUUCAAACAUUUGUGAGCAUUUUCUUCGUUCUCGAUCACAUAAACAGUAGAUCUGAAUUCUGUACUGCUUAUUGGGCCUUCUCAAUUUAAAUGGGCCUAUCUGACCCAUAUGCCCAUUUAUUUCUAAAAUUGAAUGAUACAAUACAACAAUUACAAAUAUCUUUUUGUGCUUGAUCUUUAAACAGACAACAAAGAAUUUGAACAAAAAGUACAAAACAAGCAGAAAAAAUAUACAGUUUGUUUACCUUUGCAAAUAAUCCUACGUCUAACGUAACAAAGACUCUUCACAAUCCAAAUUCUCAUUCUGAAACUCUGCCAAAUCAGAACUGACUGAGAAUUUGACCCAUCUCUUUCGAUCAAUGUGGUUCAAACAAGGUUUCAUCAAGAAGCCAAAUAUUACCAUCACAAAGCUCACUAAAGCCACUUUCAGAGUAGAUAGGACAACAACGAAACAGAUCAGUACAAUGGGAGGAACACAGAUCAAAAUCGAACCAACGGUUCCAACGGGUAUCUUAUAGGGUCUCAAUGCAGCCGGAUGUUUUAUCCUCAUUCUAACAAAUGCUAUCAACUCCAAAAUCAUUCCACCACAGUAAAGCAAAUUCUCUGCAGCUACAAUCUCUUGAAAGCUUAAUGCGUCUUCAUGCGUUUCAACGAACCACAAAAAAAAAAAAAAAACAUUUACGUGAGAAUAAAUGAAGUGACGAGGAAGGGUGGGAUGCGUGUUGUACUUGGUUUGGUUCUCUUAACAUAAAUCUAGACGUACGUGAACAAUAGACUAAAUAUGAAUCGAGAGUUUCAAUUAUUUUCAUAGUAACACGUACGCCAUCAAAUCAAAACAAGAAUGAGUUCUUACAGUCACUCACACAAAUGUACAAAAACACUGAAUAAAAUAAUAAUAAUAAUAGGUUCAAACAUUCAUGUGCAUGAGGAUUAAUUACUGAACAUUGACUAAUUAGUCCGAGAGCUGGAGAGUUAUUUUCUGUAUAUAUCUGGUCUAUGAAUUGGAUAUGUCUUAAUCAAAAUAUACGAAUCAAACCAAAUUUUGCCAGUUUGACAUAAAUUAAUUUUAAGCUUGGUUCAUACAUGUAACAUGUGCAGUGAAUAAACUUAUUAUGUUAUUAUCUUUUCGAUCUCAUGAAACAAUUUCACCUAUUUUGUAUCAUAAUCUUAAACAUUUUUCUUUAAACGAAUUGUUGUAUAACAAAAUUAAGAUGUUAUAUUAUAACUCUACCUCCAUAAAUUCAUCUGGAUCUUUUUUGCAACCAGUUUAUUAUAUCUCUAUAUAUUUGAAUCUCGGUAUAGAUAACAUGACAACCCUUCAACACAAAUCACUGUUAGACAAGAAAGCCCAAACUAAAAACAUUGGAACUAACACAAAUAUAAUGACAUCAUUAUGCUGGUUGGAGAAAUAUAUAGAUUUCUAGUUUAGGUUUUCAUAGUUGUGUACUUAAACAAACAAAAAAAAAAACAUACAAUAGAUUGAAUUAUAAAAUCAAACCAGACUUGUAUAUUCAAUAUAUAGGUGAUACUAAUUCUGAAAAUAUAUCAUUACUAGUUACAUCAACCUUAUCAAACGGUGCGUACACCCUAAUUUCGUACAUAUAUCUCUCUCAGGCUCCUUCACAUCACAUAUGCUUCACUAUCAUCAUCGCAUUGAUUUUCAAUGGGUAGUCUUGGAUCUUCCGAAAACACAAAGAUGAAAGUCUUGGAUCCAUAUAAACAAACCAUAAAAAAAAGUUUUGAGGGUUUACAUAGGAAGUAAGCAAAAACACAUAUGACUUAUAAAGAAGAGAAAAAUACUUAGAAUGCGAUAAAGUAAAUUAUACAUAUAUGAAAAAUAGACAUCUCUAUGGAUUCAUUUUCUUGCGACAAAGACGUGAAAAUAAAAACCGUUUAAUCUUUAACCGAAUCUCUUAAACUAUAGAUAAAAUAUAAAAGGUACUUGAGCAAUAUACCUAAAGUUGUGUGAAGCUUUCUGAUUUCGGAAGAUAAGAGUCUAUGGAAAAUUAAGGAGAUGAUGAUAAUGAAGUAUAUGCCAUGUGAAAGAACUAUCUUCUCUACAUAACAAAGAACAUAUUUGAUAAAAAGGAGAGGAAGGAUCGUGACCUUAUAGACCACUUCAAGAUUUAGUAUAUAGUAGUGAGCUUACGGAUUCAACUAGUGAAAAUAGAAGUCGAGAAUGGUAUGGGAAGAUUUGAAUUAGUUAACAAAAGGCAGUGAGAUUGGUACCACCAAACCCCAAUUUAUUAAAUGACUACAUUAAUAUAUACCGAGUAUGAGCUAUUUUUGUUACUACAUGGUGUGUGUGCCGGUAAGAUGGUAACAUAUAGUCAACCUUAUUACCUAAAGAGAACAAACAAUUACAUUUAGCUUAAUCGGUUAUAUAGUCUUUUAGACUUUUAUUGUUGUUACUAGAGAUGAUGACUUUCUUCUUUCUCCAAUCUCAUAUUUGGGAACGUUCUUUAAUCUCCAAGUUCAAAGCAUGUGGACUUUAAUGUGUAAAUAACAAAAUUUGCUUAAUGUUAAUAUGUAUAUUUGCUUUUAUUCUGUUGUAUAAUCAUAUUCGUAUACAUACUUAUUUCAAAUAGAAUAGAAGAAAAUAAUCUAUCCACAUUUGUAACGCGAAUACGAUUAACCAAAAAAUGGUGCAACACCCAAAGAAAAUCAGUAAAGGAUGGAAGAAACAAGAAAGAAACCAAUAGAAGAAAAAAAAAAGUUAUGAAGUUUUGUUGACAGAAUUAGAUGAAGAAGAAGUGGGAAUGGUAUUAUUAUCUUCUUCGCAUUGUUUCAACAAUUCACUGAAGGAAGGAUCAUAAGCCACCACUCUUCUCAAAUACUUUGCUGCUUCCUCUCUCCUUCCUUCGUUGAAUAUAGCACUGCACACACAAAAUGAUAAGAAGAACACAUUACUCAAGAUUAAAGUCAUGAGAAUAAUUUACUUGUUUUUGUUUUUACCUUGAGUAGAGUACCAAUGCGUCCAAGUAAUGAGCUUUGCUCUUGGGAUCGUCAGGCUCUUUCAUGUUUGCUACUCUUUCAAGGUGAGUGAUUCCUUCCGAUGUCUUUCCCUAAAGCCAUGAGCGAACAAUUCUUUGAGUAUUUUCGCAUCAACGUGUGUAUACAAAAAGAUAGGUGAAGACAAGAAA
rnacentral:lncRNA from 1 species